rnacentral:rRNA from 1 species
AUUUGACCUCAAAUCAGGUAGGAGUACCCGCUGAACUUAAGCAUAUCAAUAAGCGGAGGAAAAGAAAAUAACAAUGAUUCCCCUAGUAACUGCGAGUGAAGAGGGACGAGCUCAAAUUUUAAAUCUGUUAGGUUUACCUAACCGAGUUGUAAUUUGAAGAGGCGUUUUCUGUGUUUCUGAUCAGCCCAAGUCCUUUGGGAUAGGGCAUCAUGGAGGGUGAGAAUCCCGUUCGGUUGGUCAGAUUCGCUUUACGAUACGUCAUCUAAGAGUCAAGUUGUUUGGGAUUGCAGCUUAAAAUGGGAGGUAAAUUUCUCCUAAGGCUAAAUAACGGCGAGAGACCGAUAGCGAACAAGUACCGUGAGGGAAAGAUGAAAAGAACUUUGAAAAGAGAGUUAAACAGUACGUGAAAUUGUUGAAAGGGAAACGAUUGAAGCCAGUCGUACCUUCGGGUAAUCAGCCUUUCGGGUGCGAUUCUGUGGAGCGUGAGGAGUUAAACGCCUUCAUGCCUGCAUAUUCGUGCACUUUGGGUGUACUUGCCCGUGUGGUAGGUUAACAUCAAUUUCGGAUAUCAUAAAAUGGCUGGAGGAAUGUAGCUUCGGUCUCGUACUGAAGUGUUAUAGCCUCUGGUAGAUGUGAUGACCGGGAUUGAGGAUUGCAACGAAUACCUUUUGGGCUACCCGCCUGAUCUCUGAAAGUUGCUCUGGUGCCGAAAGCUUGCUUACGGUUAUCAAAGUUGACGUUCAAAAGGUUAGAACGGGUUAAAUUCGUUAAGGAUGUUGACGUAAUGGCUUUAAACGACCCGUCUUGAAACACGGACCAAGGAGUCUAACAUAUGUGCGAGUG